rnacentral:rRNA from 1 species
GAUGAACGCUGGCGGCGUGCCUAAUACAUGCAAGUCGAGCGAACAGACGAGGAGCUUGCUCCUCUGACGUUAGCGGCGGACGGGUGAGUAACACGUGGAUAACCUACCUAUAAUACUGGGAUAACUUCGGGAAACCGGAUCUAAUACCGGAUAAUAUAUUGAACCGCAUGGUUCAAUAGUGAAAUACGGUUUUUCUGUCACUUAUAUAUGGAUCCGCGCCGCAUUAGCUAGUUGGUAAGGUAACGGCUUACCAAGGCGACGAUGCGUAGCCGACCUGAGGGGGUGAUCGGCCACACUGGAACUGAGACACGGUCCAGACUCCUAAGGGAGGCAGCAGUAGGGAAUCUUACGCAAUGGGCGAAAGCAUGACGGAGCAACGCCGCGUGAGUGAUGAAGGUCUUCGGAUCGUAAAACUCUGUUAUUAGGGAAGAACAAAUGUGUAAGUAAAUAUGCACGUCUUGACGGUACCUAAUCAGAAAGCCACGGCUAACUACGUG